UACCAUGCAGUCGACGAUGAAGCCCUUCGGGGUGGAUUAGUGGCGAACGGGUGAGUAACACGUGGGCAAUCUGCCCUUCACUCUGGGACAAGCCCUGGAAACGGGGUCUAAUACCGGAUAACACUCUGUCCCGCAUGGGACGGGGUUAAAAGCUCCGGCGGUGAAGGAUGAGCCCGCGGCCUAUCAGCUUGUUGGUGGGGUAAUGGCCUACCAAGGCGACGACGGGUAGCCGGCCUGAGAGGGCGACCGGCCACACUGGGACUGAGACACGGCCCAGACUCCUACGGGAGGCAGCAGUGGGGAAUAUUGCACAAUGGGCGAAAGCCUGAUGCAGCGACGCCGCGUGAGGGAUGACGGCCUUCGGGUUGUAAACCUCUUUCAGCAGGGAAGAAGCGAAAGUGACGGUACCUGCAGAAGAAGCGCCGGCUAACUACGUGCCAGCAGCCGCGGUAAUACGUAGGGCGCAAGCGUUGUCCGGAAUUAUUGGGCGUAAAGAGCUCGUAGGCGGCUUGUCACGUCGGAUGUGAAAGCCCGGGGCUUAACCCCGGGUCUGCAUUCGAUACGGGCUAGCUAGAGUGUGGUAGGGGAGAUCGGAAUUCCUGGUGUAGCGG
rnacentral:rRNA from 1 species